rnacentral:rRNA from 1 species
AGUGAACGCUGGCGGCGUGCCUAAUACAUGCAAGUCGAACGGAGUGGCGCACGGGUGAGUAAUGUAUAGCUAAUCUACCCUACACUAGAGGACAACAGUUGGAAAAGACUGCUAAUACUCUAUAUUGUAGGUUGAGGCUAUAUUGUAUCAGCUAGUUGGUGAGGUAAUGGCUCACCAAGGGUAUGACGCAUAACUGGUCUGAGAGGAUGAGCAGUAAAACUGUACGUGAGACACCGUGCGGAAUCCUACGGGAGUCAGCAGUAGCGAAAUGUGGUCAAUGGGGGAGAACCAGAAGGGGCAUCGCGGCGUGAAGGACGACACUUUGCGGGGCAUAAACUCCUGUUGUUAGGGAAGCGGUACCUACCGAAGAAGCACCGGCUAACUCCGUGCCAGCCGCCGCGGUAAUAC